CUUGUAAACAGUGUUUUGGACCAAUUAUAUUCGCAGCUCUAUCUUGUAGUCUCUGUAUUUUGGAGUUGGCUGAGUCCCAAAUACAAAUAUAAUUGGAUCGAUCAUUACUCGGUGAAUUCUUUCAGCAACAUAUGGAUUUCUGUUCGAACGUAUGCGCGAAAGUUGGCCCAGUCGAGAAGACACUCUUAUAAACUUUGGAUACUUGGCUAGACAAGGUUAAAUGACUCCAAAGUAACACCCAGAUAUUCAUAUUCCUCCGCUCGAUUGAUAGGUGUAGCACUCAUCAUUAUACAGUAUUACAUCCAGAUUGGCAAGAUAAUUUUCGCGGUGAUCCAUAUAAUACAAAUUCAGUUUUCCCCCUUUUCAGGUUGGCUAUAAGAUUGUUUGAGACUAGUGCCAAGUGGCCAUGGGGAAAUGUACUUGAAAAGAUAGAGGACUUUGUCCUACGCAUGCAAUACUCAUGGUACAAUAAAAGUUCAGGUAUGAAGUCGUAGAUUCAGUGCUUGAGGCGUAUAAGAAAAUAAAGGAGGCUGAAUCAGUGAGCGCUAUAUAUCUGGAGCAAAAACUUUAGUCACUCGGCCUAUGAGAAAAGUGAAGCCAAGAUGGUGGCCAUCGACGUUGACAUUGUUCUAACGGACCGUAUCGCUAAACAAGUAAGUUAUCAGUUCAUAAAACCAUAGGCAUAGUCUUAUUCUUUAAAUCGACGUCAAAAUACAGAUCUCUGUUAGUACAAUAAUGAACAUUACUCAUGUUUAACCACAGGCCAGCGUGUUAUUGUAACAAUAUUUCCAUAUGUUGAAUACACGUGCAAUAUUCGCAAUUGGCAAACAAAUUGGAAUGUGUAAACACAGCUUAAGUUAAGAAAGAAAAAGAAAAUAAUGUAAACGUAUGAGAAUUUAUAACCAUAAAAUUAGGUUAUAUUAUUUUUAUUUAAUAUUUCGAGGAAUACAUACUACUAAAAUUAUCAUUCAUAAGUUUGCUUGUCUUCCUUCGUCAAAUUUCCUACAUGUCUUUGGCCUUUGCUGUUGUUUACUAAAAAGAAAAGACAAAACGUCUUACCCGGAUAUUAAUGAACAUAAAAUAUAACGCUUCAGUCAAUUUGCCCAUACUCCCCAAACUGAACGUUACAACGCAAUGCCUUUGAUGAAAUGUGACCAUACAGUAGAUUCCAGGUUAGCAGUCAUUAGUCAUACUUCAGUGAAGGGUUUUUAUUGUUAUCACUAUAAUUAUGACCUUUUGCGUAGAAUGUUUCAUGGAAAGAUAAAUGGACUUGUGUUGACGUCCUUCAAGCGUACGCUCCCUAUUUUGAAAUUGCCACAUUAUAUUCAAUUGUUUUUGUUCAAAAGUACUGCACUCUUUUGUGUUUCCAAUGAGUUAAUAGAGACCCUAAGAUCGCCGUUUUUCUCGUUCCUCGCGAAUCGCAAACAGCCACGUGAUUUUGAUGACCCGUAGUUUGAGGUCCGCGUUUCAACCGUUGGAUACGGCAACGUUUUUUACUGUAUUGAAUAGUAUUAUCCCACUUCCAAGGCUCAAAUUUACUUUAUUUUUGUUUUCUUUUCUUUCUUCACUUUGCCUACCAAAGUGAGCUUAUAACUUCCUUCUCUGUCCUAGUUAGUAGUUACUUAAACCAAAGUGAGCUUUAAUAGAAACAUGAAAACAAAUAUGGCGUCGUGUUUUGCAGUAUUGAGUGUUGCGCCAAUCUUAAACCAGAAAAAGAAACCUGCCAAACUGAAAACAGCUAGCUGAGGUUUGCAGUUUACAAGGAAAACGCCAAUGCGAUUUUCUUCUGCUAAUGGAUGUGAACGAGUGGAUGGAUUAUGAAUGUUCAGAUGAAGAUACG
rnacentral:lncRNA from 1 species